rnacentral:lncRNA from 1 species
GAGGGUUGAGUUCCCUGCGAGCUCCCUUGAUUCCGCAACUUCACACGGGGUUAAAAAAUGGUAUGUGAAAGUGUUAUAAAAUUUUUAUAUAAAUUUAGUACAGAGUAGUUUCUAUAAUACACUUUAGGCAACAAAUUAUAUAUUAUGUGUUACCGAUAAUCCGAAUUGGUAUCUCAGCUGCCUUUCCUUGGCGGAUAAGUUCACCUUCUCAUCCCUUUUUGUAUUUGCCCCUCCUUUGCUUUUCUCUUUUCCCCUGCGCAAGACCAACUAAUGAUCGUCCUGCUUUCUUUUUACCUUCUCUAUUUCCUCAUUGCCCAUUUUUUUUUUUGGUUGUAAAGUUGGAUCUCCUCGUAUUAAUCUGAAUAUUGGGAUGGUGAAACGUUGAUGGAUCUUAUUAACAAAAGUGGAUAGAUUUUAGGUGUUAUUGCAGCAGUUGGAAUUUGGAACCUAUUGAAGCUUGUCGCUUUUCCUUUAAGACGAAUCCAAUAUAUUAUUGAUCAAUACGAAUGACACAAUUGGCAUCUCUAGGACCUAAAUAAGCAGCAAAGGAGGGAGUAAAGCAUUCUACUUAAUUGUUUGAUUAUUGAAUAUGUCAUUAUGCACGCAUUUUCCUAGCAUUUACUUUCGAGGUUGGCGAUCGCGCGCUUCAUAUAUUGUUUAAUGCUACUUUCAUUGAUGUUGUCAGGAGAAAAAAAGACAGGUCUCUAACUUACUAAAGGGACAAAUUUCCGUCGCCAUAAGUAGUCUAUUUAACGCCGCGUAUUAUUAAACGUGGA